CCUACGGGAGGCAGCAGUGAGGAAUAUUGGUCAAUGGCCGUAAGGCUGAACCAGCCAAGUCGCGUGAAGGAAGAAGGAUCUAUGGUGUGUAAACUUCUUGUAUAGGGGAAAAAAGGUAUGCACGUGAGGAUAUUUGCAUGUACCCUAUGAAUAAGCAUCGGCUAACUCCGUGCCAGCAGCCGCGGUAAUACGGAGGAUGCGAGCGUUAUCCGGAUUUAGUGGGUUUAUAGGGGGCGUCGGUUGUUUUUUAAGUCAGCGGUGAAAGUUUGUGGCUCAACCUUACAAUUGCCGUUGCAACGGGCAGCCUUGAGUGUGUUUGAGGUAGGCGGCAUGCGUGGUGUAGCGG
rnacentral:rRNA from 1 species